CUACGGAAGGCAGCAGUGGGGAAUCUUGCACAAUGGAGGAAACUCUGAUGCAGCGACGCCGCGUGAGCGAUGAAGCCCUUCGGGGUGUAAAGCUCUUUCGACGGGAACGAUAAUGACGGUACCCGAAGAAGAAGCUGCGGCUAACUACGUGCCAGCAGCCGCGGUAAUACGUAGGCAGCAAGCGUUGUUCGGAAUUACUGGGCGUAAAGAGUGUGUAGGCGGUGCUCUAAGUCUGUUGUGAAAUCUCCCGGCUUAACCGGGAGGGUGCGGCGGAAACUGGAGUGCUUGAGGGUGGGAGAGGUAGGCGGAAUUCGUGGUGUAGCGGUGAAAUGCGUAGAUAUCAGGAGGAACACCUGUGGUGUAGACAGCUUACUGGACCACUUCUGACGCUGAGACACGAAAGCGUGGGUAGCAAACAGGAUUAGAUACCCUGGUAGC
rnacentral:rRNA from 1 species